UACAGAGGUCUCAAGCGUUGUUCGGAUUCAUUGGGCGUAAAGGGUGCGUAGGCGGCGUGGUAAGUCGGGUGUGAAAUCUCGGAGCUUAACUCCGAAACUGCAUUCGAUACUGCCGCGCUUGAGGACUGGAGAGGAGACUGGAAUUUACGGUGUAGCGGUGAAAUGCGUAGAUAUCGUAAGGAAGACCAGUGGCGAAGGCGGGUCUCUGGACAGUUCCAGACGCUGAGGCACGAAGGUCAGGGGAGCAAACGGG
rnacentral:rRNA from 1 species